CUAGUGAAAAGGCCAUCUGACGGACUCGCUUUUGUCCUCGCCAUUGUAUUGCGCUCGGCAUCUCCGGACCUCCUCUGGCUGUCUUUCCCGAGAGCCUGCACCUUGUCAUCCGCUCUGCGUGUGCCUCUUUCUCCUCGCGCUCCUCUCACACGCGGCCUUCCGUCGCCACCACGCUCGGCCGGGUGCCCCGUAGCGACGCCCGUUGUCGCUCCUCCACAGCUCCUCGUCGCCGGAUCUGGAGAUGGCGCCUUGCUGCUUGGCCGCUUUUGUAGUCGCCGUCGCACAUCCAUGCGAGCCGCCGCCUCAUCGCCGCGCCCGCUAUUGCUCGCUCCGCCGCCAGCGCCAGGGCUGGUGGCGUGUGGCGGCCGCCGGGGCUGAAGGCAGGGGCGGCGGCCAUCCAGGUGCGCGAGACGGAUGGAGUGGCCCACACGAUUCAACAUUUUGAAUAUGGAGUGUCUGUUUUUUAGAGUCCAUUGGUUAACCCUGGCAUUAGAAAACUUUUUUAUUUUUAACUAGUCUGUUAGCUUUUCAUUUAGCUAGGAAUUUUAUCUAAUUUGUUGGAAUUGCUCUGCACGACACUUUCCUUUCUCGUUUGGGUCGAGGCUAAACUUUUAUAAAGAAAAGCAAGAUUGCUCAGUUCUUUUAAACUACAGCCAUCCAUGCAUGAUUGAUUUCAUGGUCCAUAUAAAAUAAAAUAACAUGUUUAUGGUAACGGUUCCUUGGGCAAUGCACUCUCUAAAAAAGUGAAUCUGAUUAACAUAAAAAAUAAAACAAAUGUACCUCGGUAAACUUUGGUUAGUGUGCCACCUUAUCACGAAACUUGAAAACUAUGCAACUGCGCGACCUCCGAUCAUGACUUUGGUGGGUUUGGGCCGGCCACCAAGCACGUCAUGUACACUUCAAAGAGCACCAAUUCUUUUUUUUUUUCAGGACAUAAGGCCAUGAUCGGAGCUACCGCCGCCGCACUUCUUCUCCCUCUCUCAACUCCAUCCUCAAGCUGUACGGUUUCAUGGAUGGAGUCAAACAUGUCCUGAAGCAACCAUGCAGCAACCUCAACCUGGUGAGGGGACCGACCUGGAGUCAUUCAAAGCUCUGCUGGUCCUUUUCUGAACAAGAAGCCGACAAGUUCUAAUGGGGCUGCCACCGUCUGUUCCCUCGUCCGCCCGAUCGAUCGAUCGAUCGUCCACGACGAUGUGGACCACGACAAGACCCAUUACCUCCUUACACGAUGGACGGCAUUCUGCUGCAGGCUUAGAACAAAGGCACGUUUGGAUAACGACCAACAAAUGAGAGAUCCACGUGACAUUGGGGAUGUAUCAUCCGUCAACAUUAUUUGUAUCGUCCCCUGCGUGUAUAUGCUUUCUUUCUGAUCUAAAUAUUAUCAGAAAAUUCCCUGUGGAGCA